AACCAGAACCAACUACAUUAAUAUGAAUCCAAGCACAAAGUGGUUUUGACAGUCUCCUACCUGAGGUUCUACUCUCAGCUUCUUCAAGCCUCUAGCAAAGGACUUGACUACAAUUUUUUCUAAGGAUGUGGAUGAAGACUACAAGAUCAUCCACUGAGGAAGAACUUUCAUUGUCAUGGAUGUGAGACAUGAGAUACUAUUCUUCCAUACAAAGGAGGAGGAUUUUCUGGUUUAACCUAAAGAGUUGGAUCUGGACCGGCACUGGAGACAAGAGCAGCAGAGAGCUGGUUUUAAACUAUGUCUUCAAUGGUCUUACAUAUCAUAAGAGAAAGAAAGUUCACAUUUCAUGAAGCACUUCAAAGACAUCCAUGACUAUGAAUGGGAGAAAUACUUAAAAAUAAAAAAAUGAAAAACCUAGAUUAGGGGGAAGAUUGCAGAGAGACAUUUGUGAUGGAUACCUUACCAGUUUCUCAUUCAGAAUGCCACAGCAGCAACCAAAGUAUCACCAAGAAGCUGUAAAUAUAAUAUGACUACAGAUGUGGUUACUAAGAAGUGUAUCUAAUCAUGAAGUCCAGCCAGGAGAGAUACUUCUGAUCUAAGGAAAGAACCAUAUACCCAUAGAAAGAACAUUUCUACCAAAGGCUGAUUAUUAGAUUUGUAAUCUUCACUUAAUAUACAGUGUUUGCUUGUCACCAUCUGUUUAUACCAGUCACUUCAGUGAGCCUGUAUCAUGAUUACAAGAAACUAGCCAGCACAUACAUGGAACUCUUGUGCCAGUGACAGGAUCACCAACUCUAUCACAGUGUGCCAAGCAUCUACUGCUUUACAUGACCUCUUCUAGUCUUCACCUCACUACCUGAUUCCCAUUUAUACACCAACUUUGGCUGCCAGCAUGAAGUAUAUUCUUGAUCACCCCUGGAAAACAGCUUCUGUGUGGUAAUCUCAGGGGUCUCUCCAUGCUGUUUAUGAUGAUCUCAAAUUCAAGCAAUGAGGACUUUCAGUUCUCCCAAGUUCCGAGAAGCUUUUCCUGAAUACAGUUACCUAGCUGGUGAAUGCCACAUCAAUAAUGGAAGUAUCAGUAAAAAUCUGCAGAACCAACAUGGCUACUAUUGUGGGUACUGAAUAAUAUGUCUA